CACCGUUCCCGUCCGAUCAACUGUAGUUAAGCUGUUAAGAGCCUGACUGAGUAGUGUAGUGGGAGACCAUACGCGAAAUUCAGGUGCUGCAAUCU
rnacentral:rRNA from 1 species